UCUGAAGAACAGCAUUCUGGGUAUGAAGAUGCUGAUGAGCUUCUUUCAGCAAAAUCUGCAGAAAGAGCCACACCUGAAUACCAUAAUGAUUUAUCCACCACUAAAGGCCCAACAGAAGAGCAACAAAUCACACCAGAGAACUAUGAUGAUGUAAUCACUGUUGGACUGAGACAUCAUGCUACAG